CUACAUUCUUGCAUUAGUGUUUCAUUUGGAAAACAGCUCUAAAUCUAACUUGAAUAUCAUCUUCCUCUCUUCUCUUGAUGCUUUUACGAGUCGUUAAGUUACUGGAUCUGAUUUUAUGAAUUGGAUGGUUCCAAUGAAUUUUAUGGUGCGACUUGACCUCUGUAUCAUGCUGCUACCUUUCAUGUUCUCCUGAAUUUGAUGUGGAAAUUUUUUACAUUGAGAUCUCUGUGCUGGUGUUGCAACUAUUGUGCACUAGUUAUGGCUUCAAAGAGGAUUCAGAAGGAACUAAAGGACCUGCAGAAGGAUCCUCCUGCUUCUUGCAAUGCUGGUUUCAACAUGAUAAUCCACUGCUUGCUUGUGGUUCUAGCAUCUCUUCUCCAAUUUUCCCCGAGCAAUUGGUUUUGCACUCACAUUGUUGAAACUGCUACCCUCUGAAAUCUCAGCUUCUGAUCACUUGUUUAGCUUGGAAUAAAAAAGAAAUAUCAACAUCUUGGUUGAAGUAGCACAGGACAUCAUCAUAAUCAUGAAACGAACUUCAGCCAUGAGCAUGUCAUCCAAACAGAUGGUAUAGGUAAGCUUUUGCUUAACACGGUUAUACAAUAGUUUGCCAUGUAUCAAAUGUUCUAAUAUGUGCUCUAUGUUAUGCUUUGUCGAUGGGCUCUUCUGAACUCCAAUUCGAUAGCAUUUGAGAUGAACUAUGUACAAUAUCAAAAGUGUAUCCCAUUGUUUCUUUAGUGCAGCUCACAAAACUAAAGCUUUAAUUUCUUUUUCUCUUUUUUUUUUGGAGUGUGGUCAUUAUAGGUAUGCUGUAUGACAUUUCAAUAGGUAGCACUCCCAGCCCGUAAUACCAAAGCCAAUCACUAUCAUUUUGUUCCUCAUUCACCAUCCUCUAAUCAUAACCUCUCUGUUUAGGUGUCAUGGUUGGAAACCUAAUCCUUUGGUGUCAAACUACUCUGCCUUUUAUAAUGCAUGGAUCAAUGGUCUGAUUCUUGAAGUGUGCAUGUUUUUGAUGAGGUAUAAUAGUUGUCCAGAGUGAUAAAUAACACAUUUUCUUACCAUCACUGUUGUGGUAAACUUGCACAUGGUUUGGGCAAUCAUGUUUCUAAACCAAAUUUUGUGCAUCCAUUUGACCAAUUUUGAAGCUAAUAUGUAAAAAGGAAAAGAGAGACUUAGUCUUUGCCUACAUAUUUGUGUCACACACAUGGGUAAAUGUUUCUAGCACAAUAGCUUGUUGAUAGAGAUUUGGCGCAAUGUGAGUUGGUAUGUAUGGAAGCGUGUAAGGAAAUCUCAGAAUGACACACAUAAGUGUACUGAAAAGUUUUAUUAUCCUGCUUUAGUUUCAUCUUGGCUUUGGAUAAUUGGAACUGCCAAGUGGUUGAACCUAGGAGGGAGCUCAUUGGCAAUCCCCAUUUCAGAUUGUGUUCCAUGAUUCCAUGAACUGCAAAAGGAGACUUAAACCUAUAGCUACAUGUUAUGGUGCAAAGCCAUUUAUGCACUUCUCUCCUUAUGUUUCUGAAAUUUUUUUAAGUUUCAGCAUGGUGAAGAAAGAAAGAAAGUUCCAGGUGAAACUGCGCUUUUUCGAAGAAAAUUCUCCCGGUUUUAGGUUAGUAGUAACCUGGUAUGUGAAGCGGGAUGCAUAUUGGAGGACCUGGAGUCAUGCAGUUAGUCAUAAAUCCUAGCUAGCUACUUAUGUAUAUCAAACAAACUUAUGCAGUCUAAUUUUGUUAGGCCUUUUGUAAUCGAAGACGUGCAGCCUAAUUUCGUUAGGCCUUUUGUAAUCAUAAAUAUGGCGAACUUGUGCAUAUGUAACUUAUGCAACAUAUGCUUUUGGAAAUAUUCAACACCAUUCAAUUCAAUGGACAUGACAGAUGUGCCUUGCAUGUUGUGAUGCACCUAGCAAGUACAAAUAAAUGGUACCGAAUAGAAAAGCAAAGGAGCCCAAAAUAAACGGUCCGUGUUGGACAUGCUUGUUUAUUUGUUUUAAUACUAGCUAGCUACUACUCCAACUUAACGUGAACGUUUUAUUUUGUUUCUCUCUGUUGUGUAUUUGGUCUUGAAUCUGUAUUUUGUUUCUCUUGUGUUCGGGUUGGCUUCUUGCCAAUCUCUUGUGCUAGGGAUUCGAGUGGCGCGUGAUAGUUGGGGCCUAGGGUGCUAACCUCAUUGGG